rnacentral:rRNA from 1 species
GACGAACGCUGGCGGCGUGCUUAACACAUGCAAGUCGAACGGAAAGGCCCUGCUUUUGUGGGGUGCUCGAGUGGCGAACGGGUGAGUAACACGUGAGUAACCUGCCCUUGACUUUGGGAUAACUUCAGGAAACUGGGGCUAAUACCGGAUAGGAGCUCCUGCUGCAUGGUGGGGGUUGGAAAGUUUCGGCGGUUGGGGAUGGACUCGCGGCUUAUCCGCUUGUUGGUGGGGUAGUGGCUUACAAAGGCUUUGACGGAUAGCCGGCCUGAGAGGGUGACCGGCCUCAUUGGGACUGAGAGACGGCCCAGACGCCUACGGGAGGCAGCAGUGGGGAAUAUUGCACAAUGGGCGGAAGCCUGAUGCAGCAGCGCCGCGUGCGUGAUGACGUCCUUCGGGUUGUAAACCGCUUUCGCCUGUGACGAAGCGUGAGUGACGGUAAUGGAUAAAGAAGCACCGGCUAACUACGUG